rnacentral:piRNA from 1 species
UGCUACUACAGGCUGUCUCUGUUUGCUA